AUAAAGGGCACUCGCCAACUUAUGACGCAUAGGGGAAAAUUCUCCUGUGGGGUAUGGAAAUCCAGACAUACCCAGUGCGUAAUUUUUAGAACGGGAGGAAGUUGCGCUGGCACUUGAGGCCGCGCGACGCCUCC